GAUGAAGAACGUAGCGAAAUGCGAUAAGUAGUGUGAAUUGCAGAAUUCAGUGAAUCAUCGAAUCUUUGAACGCACAUUGCGCCCCUUGGUAUCCCGAGGGGCAUGCCUGUUCGAGCGUCAUUUCACCACUCAAGCCUGGCUUGGUGUUGGGCGACGUCCCCUUUGGGGACGCGCCUCGAAACGCUCGGCGGCGUGGCACCGGCUUUAAGCGUAGCAGAAUCUUUCGCUUUGGAAGUCGGGGCCCCGUCUGCCGGAAGACCUACUCGCAAGGUUGACCUCGGAUCAGGCAGGGAUACCCGCUGAACUUAAGCAUAUCAAUAAGCGAGGA
rnacentral:misc_RNA from 1 species